CGGCGGACGGGUGAGUAACGCGUGGGUAACCUGCCUCAUACAGGGGGAUAACAGUUAGAAAUGGCUGCUAAUACCGCAUAAGACCACAGUACUGCAUGGUACAGUGGUAAAAACUCCGGUGGUAUGAGAUGGACCCGCGUCUGAUUAGCUGGUUGGCGGGGUAACGGCCCACCAAGGCGACGAUCAGUAGCCGACCUGAGAGGGUGACCGGCCACAUUGGGACUGAGACACGGCCCAA
rnacentral:rRNA from 1 species